rnacentral:rRNA from 1 species
GCAGUAGGGAAUCUUCCACAAUGGGCGCAAGCCUGAUGGAGCAACGCCGCGUGAGUGAAGACGGUCUUCGGAUUGUAAAGCUCUGUCCUUAGGGAAGAACCGUGGAUGUAGUUAAUGACAUCCAUCUGACGGUACCUUUGGAGGAAGCACUGGCUAACUACGUGCCAGCAGCCGCGGUAAUACGUAGAGUGCAAGCGUUGUCCGGAAUUAUUGGGCGUAAAGGGUACGCAGGCGGAUAAUCAAGUCAAGCGUGAAAGGUGUCGGCUUAACCGACAGACUGCGUUUGAAACUGAUUAUCUUGAGUGUAACAGAGGAGAGUGGAAUUCCUAGUGUAGCGGUGAAAUACGUAGAUAUUAGGAAGAACACCAGUGGCGAAGGCGACUCUCUGGGUUAACACUGACGCUGAGGUACGAAAGCUGGGGGAGCGAACGGGAUUAGAUACCCCGGUAGUCCCAGCCGUAAACGCUGGAUACUAGGUGUUGGAGGUUCGAAUCCUUCAGUGCCGGAGUUAACGCAUUAAGUAUCCCGCCUGGGGAAUACGAUCGCAAGAUUGAAACUCAAAGGAAUUGACGG